CUUUCCCAAGUGACUUAUUCAGGGAGACUGCACGGGGGAAACCGAGGCAUGAGAAAGGCUGUAUGGAUAUCUCAUCACCCUUUCACCUGGUGCCCCCAGAAAACUAGGAAACUAGGAGCCGCCUCCAAAUAGGACCUGGAGCUGGAGUUCCCCUAAGGAAUGUAGAGGCCGGGUCCCCAACUCCCGAACGGAGUGGGUGAAGCCAAAAAGGCUAGGGCUGUGCAGAGAUGUCUUGGGUAGCUUCGUGGGCCACCUGGACAGGGUAAGUUUGGGUGCUGGAUCGCUCCAUCGUUCCCCUUUUCCCAGCGCAGAGAACAAGCGCUUCAGGCCCCAGGAUGGGACCUAGAGGCAGAUGGCCAAAGAGAGGGGCCCUAAGAGUCUGCGGUCCCGGGACGGACUGAGGCGACACUGAGGGCGGUGCCUGAAAGUCCGGGCUCCAGGAGGCGGGGUGCGAGGCCGCCAAGCGUCGCGGGAAGCAGAUGAAGAAUGCGUGAGCUGGGACUCCUGUUCCCGGGCCCGGGGAGGCCUGGGCAGCCGACAUGGACCCCGCUGCCAGACAGCCCGCACUCACCUCGCGAGGGUCUCACUACAUGGUCUCCGCGCGCUUCCGGCCUAGAGUCGGGAAUUCCCGCCCCCUCCCAUAGCUCCCCCCUCCCCCACAGGAGCCGCGUACCCACGACCGACUGCCAAUGGCAGCACCGAGUGGGCGGGGACAGACCGGGAGUGACGUCAGUUAGGAGCAAUCAGAGAUCGGGAGCGGGAGCGGGCGGAGCAGGCGACCUGAGGAGAGUGAGCGAGAGCAAGAGCGGAUAUUAGGAAAAGGACCUCGGGGCUGGGGCCCUGGGGCGCAUCUGUGGAGGACUGAGGGGCCGGAGCGGGCCAGUCAACAAAGGCUUUGAUUAUAUGGAUAUUUUUAAAAGAGGGAGACCCCGCAUUGUCAAGUCUUCCGGCCCACAUCUGAAAACAUCUUCCUGGCCUUGGGCCAAAGUCUCAUCUGUCCCUCAGAAGGCUCUGACACCUCGUCAGUGCCUCUUGGCGCCCAAGGGAAAGCAUUCCCCUCUUGGGACCAACUUCCUUGACUGCUUUCCCUCACCAGCACCCACAACAAGGAAAAAGACAAGGCAGAAUUGGAAAGGGGGGAAAGCAAAGAGAGGGUAUGUCUUGAAAAUCAUCCCUUCUCGACUACUUAUGGCACUCAGUGCAGCCUCCGCCUUCUCCAGGUGGGUGGGGACGUGGUGGGACCGGAAUGCGGGGUGCUGAAGCCGCGCCCAGGGAAGAGCCCCCAGCGCAUUCCAGGAUAUCUGCGUACCGCGCCUGCGGGCGUCUGGCCGGUUCUCCCACCUGAUUUCCAGCCCAGCUCCCGCCACCCUCGCCGGUCGGUUUGCUGUUUGCUGUUCCUUGAAUGCCCCAAGGUAGUUGUUUCAGCUCAGGACUUUCACCGUUUCCUCAACCUGGAUUCUUGUGGCCCACAACUCUGUGCCUUGAGAAUCCUCUUCUAGCCUCAAGGGACGGUAAGACAAAAGAAAAUUUAAAAAGGGGGCUCAGCUGUUCUUUUAUGCAAAGGUGAAAAAAGCUUCAUUGCCUAAAGAAGGGACAGAUGGGAUCUUGCUUCCUACAGGAAAAUUAAUUUUAAAAAAGAAAAAAAAAAGGGGGGACAGUGUAAUGCUUCUCACAAGGCUCCAGAAACGAAGCCCAGUAAUUCCUUAAGUAAAAGAGGAAUGUGAAGACUUCUUAAGGGGCCGGGCGCGGUGGUUCACGCCUGUAAUCCAAGCACUUUGGAAGGCCGAGGAUGAAUCACCUGAGGACAGAAGUUCAAGACCAGCCUGGUCAACAUGGUGAAACCCCGUCUCUACUAAAUAUACAAAAAUUAGCCGGGCGUGGUGGCGGGGGCCUGUAAUCCCAGCUACUCGGGAGGCCGAGGCAGGAGAAUCGCUUGAACCCGGGAGCCGGAAAUUGCAGUGAGCCGAGAUCGCGCCAUUGCGCUCCAGCCUGGGCAACAACAGCGAAACUUCGUCUCAAAAAAAAAAAUUAUUCGUAAUUGGUAACAUUAACAAGGAAUUAUGACUGGGGGGGUCAGGAAACCUGGAUUCUGGUCCAAGUUCUACCUUUAUAGUUGUCAAAUAUAUAUAUUUGUUUAUUUAUACACAUACAUAUGUCAUAUAUGAUUAAUAAUUGUAUAUAUUUAUGGUGUACAACAUGAUGUUUUGAAAUAUAUGUACAUUGGGCCGGGCGCGGUGGCUCACGCCUGUAAUCCCAGCACUUUGGGAAGCCGAGGCGGGCAGAUGACGAGGUCAGGAGUUGGAGACCAGCCUGCUCAACAUGGUGAAACCCUGUCUCUACUAAAAAUACAAAAAUUAGCCAGGCGUGGUGGCGCAUGCCUAUGAUCCCAGCUACU
rnacentral:lncRNA from 10 species